AUUGAACGCUGGCGGCAGGCCUAACACAUGCAAGUCGAGCGAGCGGCGGACGGGUGAGUAAUGUCUGGGAAACUGCCCGCUGGAGGGGGAGAACUACUGGAAACGGUAGCUAAUACCGCAUACCAUCAGAUGUGCCCAGAUGGGCUUAGCUAGUAGGUGGGGUAACGGCUCACCUAGGCGCCGAUCCCGAGCUGGUCUGAGAGGAUGACCAGCCACACUGGAACUGAGCAACGGUCCAGACUCCUACGGGAGGCAGCAGUUGGGAAUAUUGCACAAUGGGCGCAAGCCUGAUGCAGCCAUGCCGGGUGUGUGAAGGAGGCCUUCGGGUUGUAAAGCAAUUUCAGCGGGGGGGCGUUACCCGCAGAAGAAGCACCGGCUAACUCCGUGCCAGCAGCCGCGGUAAUUC
rnacentral:rRNA from 1 species